UACGUAGGGUGCGAGCGUUGUCCGGAUUUAUUGGGCGUAAAGGGCUCGUAGGCGGCGUGUCGCGUCGGGGAGUGAAAAGCCCGUUGCUUAACGGCGGGUUGGCUUUCGGUACGGGCAUGCUGGAGUGCGGCAGGGGGAGACUGGAAUUCCUGGUGUAGCGGUGGAAUGCGCAGAUAUCAGGAGGAACACCGGUGGCGAAGGCGGGGUCUCUGGGCCGUUACUGACGCUGAGGAGCGAAAAGCGUGGGGGAGCGAACAGG
rnacentral:rRNA from 1 species